rnacentral:rRNA from 1 species
AGGGUUUGAUCAUGGCUCAGAAUGAACGCUGGCGGCGUGGAUAAGACAUGCAAGUCGAACGGAGAAACAAAUAGUUUACUAGGUGUUUCUUAGUGGCGGACGGGUUAGUAACACGUGAGUUACCUGCCUCAAAGUGGGGGAUAGCCUUUCGAAAGGAAGAUUAAUACCGCAUAUGACCUUCGGGUCAAAGGUGCCUUCGGGUGCUGCUUUGAGAUGGACUCGCGGCCUAUCAGCUAGUUGGUGAGGUAACGGCUCACCAAGGCAACGACGGGUAGCUGUUCUGAGAGGAAGAUCAGCAACACUGGAACUGAGACACGGUCCAGACACCUACGGGUGGCAGCAGUCGAGAAUCAUUCACAAUGGACGAAAGUCUGAUGGUGCAACGCCGCGUGGAGGAUGAAGGCCCUAGGGUCGUAACUCCUGUCAUAUAAGAGUAAGACAUGAUGG